CUUUUGAUCAUUUCAAAGUUAUUUGUGUAUAUAUAAAUACAUUUUUUUUCUUUUGCGUUCGAAAAUAGGUCAGAAUACGAAUGAAGGAGCAAGGCAAGAUUGUUGCUCAUAGUUGCUGUGCUUCCUAAUCAUGCUCACUUGAACGAGCCUUAAAGAUGCCAUAUACUGACAUCCUUCUGAGACAGAACCAAAGCCAGAAAUUUAUAACACUUUAUAGAAGCUUUUUCAACAGGAAUGGAAAGGGAAGGGGAUUGAAUCUAAUCAGAUUGCAAAAGAAACAUUGAACUCUCAGGAAAUGUACACACUUAAUGUGUUAGCACAGUGAUGGCGAACCUAUGGCACGUAUGCCAGAGGUGGCACACAGCGCCCUUUCUGUGGGCACACAAGCCAUCGCCCUGGCUCAGCUCUGCCGCACAUGCACGGGUGCCUCCUACCAGCCAGCUGGUCGUCAGGCCUCUGCUGUGCAUGUGCAGGGUCAGGGCUCAUGCAGGGGGCCACACAGGCAGGGGAGGGGUGCAUGCACGGGGGCCACACGUGCAUUGCAUUUUGGGGUUGGGUGCGCAUGUGCUUUGGGCACUCUGUCUGGAAAAGGUUAGCCAUCACUGUGUUAGCAGAACUGAUCUGACUCUCUCUCUUUUUUGUGCCUCUUUCACUACUGAUUUUACUAACAGAAAUCUAUAUUAAGGUUUUUAUAAUAAGGUGUUAGUGCUACACUUGGAGUGAGUCUUCAGAUAAUUUUGAUGGACAAUGACAAGGAAGACUUCCUAUCUUGGACAAGAAGGCUGAUUCAGGAAAAUGCAGGAGCAUUCAGGAAAGAGUGACUGGUUCAAAAUAAUUCACGUCAGAAACAUGAAGCAUGAUAGUGUAAGGUCCCAGAAGUUUCCCUGAGCCACUGAGAUGCCAAAGAGAGUGAGACUCGAGACUUGCAAAAAAUAUCAGCUUUUAUUUAUUUAUGUCCAAAGCAAAAGCUGGAUGACAAAACUAUAUCCAAAACACAAACAAAAUGCAUGUAAGGAAUAGCCACACCCCUGCGAGAGUGGCUCAAAGUAUUAUAUACAUUUUACACCCUUGGAAACAAAGUUUACCCAAUCAGAGACAAAGGUUCGUUACCAAGGUGAUCUUUAAAACAUUCUUUGUUCAGGCCCCUGUCUCUGUCCACCUUAUCUAUGGAGCAUUCCUAUAGCCUUGUGUAUUCAGCAGAAUGCUUUCAGGAUUCAGAAUUUAUGAAUCCUACUUCCUACUCUGGUUCCUUUAUCUAUGGAGCCUGAUAUUCCUGGGUAACGGUUUCUUCUAUAUUUUCAAGGAUGUGCCUAGCUUUGAAGCCAAGAAUAGAAGCAGGACACAGAAGCAAGAUAACAAACUUUGUACUAAUGAUAACCAGUAUUAAGGUUAUAACUGACUAAGCUAGAGUUAGUUCCUAACAACUAAUUUCUGACAGUAUACAAUAAUAUAAGCAGAAGCCAGUAACAAAGCUUAAUUCCUAAUAAAUGAUUUCUAGCAGUAUAUCAUAUCGGAAGCAAACAGCAAAUAUUGGUUUGAUCACUAUGCUCCUUCAAUAUAACUCAAUUUCUAUUUUAAUAAUCUCAAGUAAACAAUGUCUAUUGGAUAUUUUUUCCCCUUUCCUUUUUUCAUUUUAAAAAUUUGCAUACUGCCCCUACUGUUCGCAAGUUAAAACAAUCCAAAUAAUAAAUGUCCAAAGUUACAAAGAGGAUGGAGCUUCCAAUACAUAAAAAGUGUCUUAGAAUAAAUUCUGAGGCAAUCAGUAAUGUUUGCAACUACAAACAACAUGAAUAUAAGAGCAGCUCCCUAAAUCGCACUGUUCAACUUAACACAAAGAGGGUUGCACACUUUAAAAAAAAAAAUCUGCUUUUGGCAAUUUACAUUAAAAACAAAUUCUAGAACCAAAGCCAAUAAUUUAGGAAAUUUAUUCAGUAUCAAAACCCUUUUUUUCCCCCUACUAGAACUUAGCUCACACCUUUGUUCCUUGUUUUAUAUUUUUUGCCCUGUCCAAAACAUACCUUAAAUAGGACAAACUAACUAAAGAAGCAGGAACUCUUGAUGAGUACAUCAAGAUUAAAUAUUGAAGAGUAAGAGAAGCCAUGUGUUUAAAUUAUUCAUAUUCACACCCACAUACAGGAAAUACUUAUAAUAUUGGGCAUGUCCAAAACAUGUUAAACCAGCUACUUAAUGGCAACACAUAACCAUUCUGGGUCCUGUUUUACUACCUUAGCAACAUUUCUUUGAUUUAGAGAUAAUGUACAGCAAUUGAUAUUUACAGUGAACACUAAGUAAAGCUAUUGCAGGUAAUCCCUGGGUUAUGAGCGUUCCCCUAGCGAACGUUUGAAAUUACACAAUGAGCACCCCCUAGCGUUUAUGAACAAGUCCCAAAACGAUGAAUCCUGUAGCAUCAAGGCAGUUGUUCGCCCUUACGAACAACUGCAGAGGCUCUGCAACAUAUGUCCUGCACAUUGCCGUCCGAAAUGGAGCUUCUGAGAGACAGAUCUGCCCUUCAGAAGCUCCAUUUUGGCCGGCAACAUGCCAAGCGAGGCCUGUGGAGGCCCGAAGAGAGUGUUAGAGGGGUGCAUGCUGCUGAGAGGCUGGAGAGGAGACUGCUUGCUAGAUCUUCACAAGAUUGCCCAGGUGGCUGUCCAAUCUUUUAAUAAAACCUCUAGUGAUGAAGCAUCUAAAACUUCCAAAGACUUGAAAUCCUGGGUUUAGAAAAUUUAGAACUACGCCGCCUUCGACAUGACCUGAGUUUAACUCAUAGAAUCAUCUAUUACAAUGACCUUCCUGUUGAAGACUACUUCAGCUUCAAUUGCAUCAAUACAAGAGCACACAAGAGACUCAAGCUUAAUGUUAACUGCUCCAAUCUUGAUUGCAGAAAAUAUGACUUCAGUAACAGAGUUGUUAAUACUUGGAAUAUACUACCUGACUCUGUGGUCUCUUCCCAAAAUCCCCAAAGCUUUAACCAAAACCUGUCUACUAUUGACCUCACCCCAUUCCUAAGAGGUCUGUAAGGGGCGUGCAUAAGAGCACAAGCAUGCCUACCAUUCCUGUCCUAUUGUUGCCUUUCAUUAUAUCCAAUUAAUAUAGUUAUUACAUACUUAUGCUUAUAUAAAUGCUUAUAUAUUAUAUAGUUAUUUCAUGCUUAUGCUUAUAUAUACUGUGUGACAAAUAAAUAAAUAAAAUAAAGUAAUAGAGUCCUUAAAAUCUGGAAUGCCCAAUCUCUGUGAUGGCGAACCUAUGGCACAUGUGCCACAGGUGCCACUCGUAGCCAUAUCACUGGGCAUACCAGCUUAGCUCCGGCGUACAUGCUCAUGCCAGCCAGCUGAUUUUCGGGCCUUCUGGGCCCACCAGAAGUAGGGAAACAGGCUGUCUCCUGCCUCCGGAGGGCCUGGGGGUGUGGGGAGGAAGGCAUGUUUUUCUUUCUCCCCUGGCUCCAGAUUCUCUUUAUGCAUCUAGGGAGGGCGAAAGCAACCUUCC